GCCUUGGUGGCCUAGUGGUUAGGGGAUAUGGCUUGGGUCUGGAAGGUCCCUGGUUCUAAUGCCCCCAAGGUG